AUGCUUUGCUGGUGUUUGGGUAUUUCAGGCUGUCAGACUGAAAGCAAACAGAACUGGCAGCGGAACAGGGGCUCUGAUGGGGCUCAGUUUUCUCCUGUGUUCGUCCUAGGCUCAGAUCCCCCAGUCCAGCCCAGCAACCCCUGCUCCUGUAUGGCCUUGUGCUGGGAAGAUCCAGCAUUGAAGUUCUGGCCUUCAGGGUAUUUUUCUGGGAAUUUCAUUUGCAGACAGCUCAGCCGUUACCUGCCCACAGACCUGCUUGGAGUGCAAGAAUUCAUAAAACACGUCGGGGUUCUCAGGCGGCGGAAGCAGUGCAUGCAAAUCAUCCCAACACCAUUACCCUCUGUUCAAACACGGAGCUGGCUCCAAUUUGUUCUGCUUCUAACUUUCUUCCCCUCCUUAAUAAUCUUUUUAGGAGCACGGAGCAGCAGCAAUUCUCCUUCCCUCUGCGCAGGGGAGCUGCAGGAGCAUCCUGGCUGAGCCUGUGCACUCAGCCACUGGCUGCGCUUCGCAGAGCCGGGGUCUCAUUAGCAAUUGCCCGCUCCUCCUGCAAUUUCCCUGCUAAUUAGGGCGUCCACCCGCUGCAGGGGGAGCCCUGCGGGCCCCUCCGAGGCUCUGUGCCCGCUGGCAGCGCAGCGCGGAGCAGCAGUGGGCUCUGGCGGCGGCUGCGCGCCCUGCAGGCAGCGCACGGUGUCCUUGUCCCUCCCCACCCCGGCCCUUUUUGUGUCCCCUAUCCCCAGCCCCUGGGUUGGGAUGGGCUCAAUUUGGGCCCCCCUGGGACGAGGCUGCAGGGAGAGGUGGUGAAGGCUGCUCCAGGAGGGAUGUGAGGAGUUGGGAUCCCGGGUGAGCCAGCCCGAAGCGGACCCCAUGGGAACGGGAGGCUCGGGCAGGUGGCGUGUGGCCGUCCCUUGCCAGUCUCCUUCUGCUUUUAGGGGGAAGGUGGGCACGUGGAAGGGCAGAGCCCCCCGAGGGCUGCCCAGCUCCCACGGGGUGUGAGGGGAAAUCGCCUCCUUCCCCCAAGAAAGGUCCCUGGGAGCAGCCAUGCAUUUCUUUGCCCUGUCCUUGCAGCCGUGCUGCAUGCACAAUGCCCAGGGUUUGGAGCCAGCGUCCCACCUCGAGGUGUGCCCCAUCUCUGUGGCCUCCCUGUCCUCAGGCAUUUUCCCCCACAGCGGAGCAGAGAGAACAAAUCCUGCUCCCCCCACAUGGUCCCCUGGAUAAGAUGAAGCCCCGAGCAUCCUAACGAGGCCGAAUGUGGGGACCUCUUUAGCUGUGUUCGUUAUGAGCUCUCCUUUGAUUGAUGUUAUUUCUAAACUCCUCUCUUCUGAUGUCAUUUUUCACUCUGAUGGGAAAUUUUCUUUUCCAUUUUAAUUUCCUCUUCCUUAUGAGAAAAAUGACUCAUGUGUCUGACCCCGGGCUUUUACCUGCCUCCCUCCCACCACGCCGGAGCGGGGCAGACCCCUCCUGUGGGCUGUGCGUGACCGCAGGUGCCUACAGCCAGGGAGCUGGGCAAAACCAGCUCCUGAGCUCUUUCCUGGUGAUCUGGUGAAACUGGACCUGCUGGCUGGUUUCUGCACGUCAGAAACGUGCUGGGCUGGUGGCUGCCCGGAGGAGGCUUUAUCCCGGGGCGAGAUACCUGGGCAGGAAUUAACGCGAUGACGUCCAGCACCUCGUGACAGCCUCCGUGCACCACGUACGGCGUGUGGCCCGCAGCCACCACCACCCCAGCCCCAAACAGCAAAUAUUUGGAAGCUGCCAUGGAGUCUGAAUGAACGUAGUCAGGCUGGGCUCUGCCACAUGCUGUGGGUGAAGUUCUGGGGGGUCGGGGUCCCCCCGGGGUCCCCAUGGCUGUGGUUUGCUGAGCCUGGAGGGCUCAGAGGGGGAAGCUGCAGAGGAGCUGGGUUUUUGCACCAGUAAAUGGCGUUAGUGCCUGCUUUGGGCACCUCCAGCAUUGUGCAGUAACUGAGCGCAGCCGGCGCUCUUUGUGGGCUCUGAAUGGAAGGCUGUAGGGCAGCCAGGCUCCCAGGGGAGAAGGCUGGAGCCUGGAGACACAAAGCAGGCUGCGGAGGUCUCGGAGCACCUGCAAGCUGGGAACCUGCCUGCGUGUGGACAGGAAGGAAAAGUGGGAGGAAAACUUCCAUUGUUAGCACCAAUUCUUAUUUCACUGGCCGUGCUCCCGGCACGUCUCGGCUCAUCCCCCCAUUUUCUUCCCUGUUUUUGUUUGGGUUCCUUUGCUUGCCUUCCUCCAAGGCACGGCCAGCGCGGUUUGCAGCCCAGUAAUGCUUUGGCAGCGUCCUGCAGCCCCACCUCUGCUGAUGUCCCCACGGGCCAGGGUCACGGCAGGGGCUUGUUCCUGAGGCCAUGGAGGUCCUGAAGCCCCCAGCAGGAAGCUGCCCCCUCCCUGCCGCCCACCCAAAGCCACGUGGGGGCCGCGGGACGUCCGCUCCUCCCGUGCCCGAGAGCAUCCCUGUGGCAGAGCCCGUGGCUUUGCCUCCUUUAGCCGAGGAGGAAGCCACUGCACAAAGAAGGGAAAUGACCCGGCGAAGGUCACCUGCAGCUGGGGCCGAGCCCAGGACCAGCAUCGUGAGGUCCCGGUGCCACGGCUGAGCUAUGCCAGAGCGGGAUAGGUGUGGGUUUUGUGUGUGAGUGGCACUGAGUGUCACCGAGUGCCCAGGGGAAAAUGGAGCAGGGUUGAACUCAGAAGCCACAGGCUGAAAAACGCAGCAUGGGCACAUCGCCCAUGGAACCAACAGCAAAAGGCAGUGUGCGGACUGGGGGUGGCAGGCUGGAUUGGGAAAAAAAUCAAAUAAAUCAGGGAAAGCCAGAAACCUGAUGGCGUGGGGAAGAAGCUUUUAGGGUGAUGCAAGAGCAGAAGACCGUCAUCACCUCUGGUCCUUGCAAGGAGCUUCCUGAAGCUCGCGGGUGGGUUUGGCUGGCUGUAACGCACCGUGUGUUUUGUGGGUGACCGCAGCGGUGGUCCCUGCAGGCUGGGAGCAAAGCACAUCCCCACACCUCGCCGUGCUGCCCCCCGAGCCCCCACCCCACCAGCAUUGUGCCGACCCGGGCCUCCCUUUUCCUGUAGGUGGGGUUUCCAUAGGAAGCACGGCUGGUCCACCUCCCGCCGCCGGACACCGCUCUCGGGAGGCGGUGGUGGCAGUCCCUCUGCUCCCCGUCACGGCGUCCCAGCCCGCGAUGCUCCGCCGCCCGUCCCGGGGUGAUGGCAGGGCAGGGGGCAGCCUCCGGACCUCCGCGCUCUUCUUGCUCCUUCCCAGCUGGUGAGUG
rnacentral:lncRNA from 1 species